CUUGGCUGAGAACCAAAUUCCUGUGAAAAAUUACAUGGGGUGAUUGAGAAGGAGAAAUUUCACCAUACAACAAGCUUUGCGUCACAAGUUGCAAGAUUCUCCAUCUUAACUCAGACAAUAGUACUAUUAAUGCUACUGCAACAGACAUAGGAAUGUGCACUCGCAUAAGCUAUGUUAAACUUUUGCAUGCAGAAUGUAACUUCUUGCUCGAGUGGAACAAAAUAGAACCAUAACACCAAGAUAGAA
rnacentral:misc_RNA from 1 species